rnacentral:rRNA from 1 species
UACGUAGGGAGCAAGCGUUAUCCGGAUUUACUGGGUGUAAAGGGCGCGCAGGCGGGCUGGCAAGUUGGAAGUGAAAUCCCGGGGCUUAACCCCGGAACUGCUUUCAAAACUGCUAGUCUUGAGUGAUGGAGAGGCAGGCGGAAUUCCGUGUGUAGCGGUGAAAUGCGUAGAUAUACGGAGGAACACCAGUGGCGAAGGCGGCCUGCUGGACAUUAACUGACGCUGAGGCGCGAAAGCGUGGGGAGCAAACAGG